rnacentral:rRNA from 1 species
GAUGAACGCUGGCGGCGUGCCUAAUACAUGCAAGUAGAACGCUGAAGGAAGGAGCUUGCUCUUUCCGGAUGAGUUGCGAACGGGUGAGUAACGCGUAGGUAACCUGCCUGGUAGCGGGGGAUAACUAUUGGAAACGAUAGCUAAUACCGCAUAACAGUAGAUGUUGCAUGAUAUCUACUUAAAAGGUGCAAUUGCACCACUACCAGAUGGACCUGCGUUGUAUUAGCUAGUUGGUGAGGUAACGGCUCACCAAGGCGACGAUACAUAGCCGACCUGAGAGGGUGAUCGGCCACACUGGGACUGAGACACGGCCCAGACUCCUACGGGAGGCAGCAGUAGGGAAUCUUCGGCAAUGGACGGAAGUCUGACCGAGCAACGCCGCGUGAGUGAAGAAGGGUUUCGGAUCGUAAAGCUCUGUUGUAAGAGAAGAACGAGUGUGAGAGUGGAAAGUUCACACUGUGACGGUAUCCUACCAGAAAGGGACGGCUAACUACGUG